GAAAGAAUUCAUCUAUUUCAGUGGAAAAUGAAAGAGGUUACAUGAGCUCCAGAGCUAAGUAAAAUGAAGAAUGACACCACAAUUCACAAGGGAUUAAAGGAGUCCACCAUCAUUGCCAAGCUCCAUAUCACUUUUUUUAAGACAAGAUCACUCUCUGAACUUGAAGUUUACUGACUGUCUAGACUGGUUGACCUUGAGACUCUCUGUCUCCAUCUCCCAGCUGUGGAAUUAACAGACUCACCCAGGUCUUCUGCUCUUCCUCAUCGUCCUAAGAACACGCCACAGUGUUGGCCUCUGGGAAUUUUUCUUGCAUUGACACUUCUCUUGGCCCAGAUCUAGCUGGUGUCAGAAGACCACACUUCCAAGAAGGCAGGAGCCUGUGCCACUGGCCGGCCAGUCAGACAGCUCGGGGAGGCACCAGACUGCACAUACGCUGAAAGAACAGCCCACAGACCAAGCUGCAAUUGGUAAUGCCAGGUCCAGACCUGGUUUGUGCUGCUCUGCUAACGCUGCUGAAAUUACCCGUAGGACACCAUCUCGAAAGGUGCACAGCAUGCGAGCCCCCCCCCUCCUCCUGCCCUCUCUCCAGUCUGAGACCAAGUGGGCAUUAGCUUCCACUGCCACCACCGCCACCUCCAUUGCAGCCCGCCAUGGUCCUAUUCCAGCUCCCUGUGAUUCCAGACCACUGUGAUUCCAGGCCAAUUUGAUUCCAGCUUGCUGCGGUUGGACCCCAGCCUGCCACUGUUCCAAUUCCAGCCUACCUAACUGCCUGGCCUCCAAGCUCAUCCGGGACAUUGAGUGCAAUUUCCCUAUUCUGUCCAAAGGAUUUCACGGCUGUUUUAUAGCUGCAGGUCUCCCAAUCUGCACAGACUUUUCCCUCCCCAAAUAGGUUUUCUAAUUUUCUGUAAGAGCUGCUUAGAAUCUUUCAGUUGUUACCUGAAAAAAAUACCGAAGUUUUGGGGAAGAGCUGUGUUUGGUGGUACACCUGCACCGUCUGCAGGCCAACGAUGCUAACAGCAGGUGACAUUCCUCUUUUCAAACCAAACUAAUUACAGGUGUAAGUGUACUUAGAUUAUACCAUGGCAGAUAAUUUAAUGAUGCAGAACAUUAGUUAUCUCAUUGCCAACGUCAUGGAUUAUGUAUUAGGAGACAAUUAUGAUGUAUUUCAAAUGUAUUUGUGUCGAAUCCUCAUGGUUAGUGUCCUAAUACAUAAAAUCACAUGAAAGAGAGAAAAUAAAAAGACAGAUAAUGGGAAAA